UCUCUCCGCUUCUGCUUCUCCAGGGGCUGGUGAUUGCAUCCGGAAGUGCCCAUGACAGAGCUGGUGUCCUCCAGGGGAGGGUCCCCUAUAGGGGACAGGGAGGAGGGUCUGGGAGACGAUCAAGGCCUGGUUAUCCACCACCCAGCGGAGGAACAGUCCCACCGCUGCCCACUGUGCGGGCAGACCUUCUCCCAGCAGCCUAGCCUGGUGCGGCACCAGAAAGCGCACGUGGGGGCUGGCCGGGCAGCCGCCUUCGUGUGUCCCGAGUGCGGCAAGGCCUUCAGCGUCAAACACAACCUGGAAGUGCACCAGCGCACACACACCGGCGAGCGGCCCUUCCCCUGCCCCGACUGCGGCCGCUGCUUCAGCCUCAAGCAGAACCUGCUCACGCACCAGCGCAUUCACAGCGGCGAGAAGCCGCACCAGUGCGCGCAGUGCGGUCGCUGCUUCCGCGAGCCGCGCUUCCUGCUCAACCACCAGCGUACCCACGCGCGCAUGCCCACACCGCACCCACGCCGUCCCGGUGUCUUCGGGGAGCGGCGACCCUACUUCUGCCCUCGCUGCGGCAAGAGCUUCGCGCGUGAGGGCUCGCUCAAGACCCACCAGCGCAGCCAUGGCCACGGGCCUGAGAGUCAAGCGGCCCAUUUGAGCAGUGUGCUAUGAUCUGUGGGAGACCUACCACCACCAGCUGCCUCCAAUCCAGAAGCCGCAUCCAAGGGUGCUGAGUUGCAGUCCCCUGUCUGGAUGGGCUCCUGGGAGGAGGGUGGGGCCAUCUUAGGGUGUUGAUAGGCCUCCG
rnacentral:lncRNA from 1 species